GCAAUGCCGCGUGUGUGAAGAAGGCCUGCGGGUUGUAAAGCACUUUCAGUAGAGAAGAAAAGCCUACGGUUAAUAACCCUGAGUCUUGACGUUACCUACAAAAGAAGCACCGGCUAACUCGUGCCAGCAGCCGCGGUAAUACGGAGGGUGCAAGCGUUAAUCG
rnacentral:rRNA from 1 species